rnacentral:rRNA from 1 species
CCUACGGGAGGCAGCAGUGAGGAAUAUUGGUCAAUGGACGAGAGUCUGAACCAGCCAAGUAGCGUGAAGGAUGACUGCCCUAUGGGUUGUAAACUUCUUUUAUAUGGGAAUAAAAUGUUCCACGUGUGGGAUUUUGUAUGUAACAUAUGAAUAAGGAUCGGCUAACUCCGGGCCAACAGCCGCGGUAAUACGGAGGGUCGGAGCGUUUACCGGUUUUAUUGGGUUUAAAGGGGUGGUAGGUGGAUUGUUAAGUCAGUUGUGAAAGUUUGCGGCUCAACCGUAAAAUUGCAGUUGAAACUGGCAGUCUGGAGUACAGUAGAGGUGGGCGGAAUUCGUGGUGUAGCGGUGAAAUGCUUAGAUAUCACGAAGAACUCCGAUUGCGAGGGCAGCUCACUGGACUGCAACUGACACUGAGGCUCGAAAGUGUGGGUAUCAAACAGGAUUAGAUACCCUAUAGUC